GACGAACGCUGGCGGCGUGCUUAACACAUGCAAGUCGAACGGUAAGGCCCUUCGGGGUACACGAGUGGCGAACGGGUGAGUAACACGUGGGUGAUCUACCCUGCACUUCGGGAUAAGCCUGGGAAACUGGGUCUAAUACCGGAUAGGACCACUGCCUGCAUGGGUGGCGGUGGAAAGCUUUGGCGGUGUGGGAUGGGCCCGCGGCCUAUCAGCUUGUUGGUGGGGUGAUGGCCUACCAAGGCGACGACGGGUAGCCGGCCUGAGAGGGUGACCGGCCACACUGGGACUGAGAUACGGCCCAGACUCCUACGGGAGGCAGCAGUGGGGAAUAUUGCACAAUGGGCGCAAGCCUGAUGCAGCGACGCCGCGUGAGGGAUGACGGCCUUCGGGUUGUAAACCUCUUUCAGCACCGACGAAGCGCGAGUGACGGUAGGUGCAGAAGAAGGACCGGCCAACUACGUGCCAGCAGCCGCCGUAA
rnacentral:rRNA from 1 species